UCUAGACGCGCGCGAUGCUCUCCGGCCCCAGCAACGCCGCUCUGCGUGUGCGCAUGCGCAGAGCCGGUGGAACCCAGGCCCGAUUCGGCAGACCGCAGCAGCCGGGGUGACUGGGCAGCGCGGACGGAGCUUCAAGGGCAGGCUGCACGUGCGGGUGCCACAGCCUCACACCAUUAGGAGGACCACCUUCAUCUCCGCAGGGAGGCUUUGGCUCAGCCAGCUUCGCUCCUUCACCGAGCAGGACUGCGUUUGUCAGGGCUCGGCGGUGACACGUCUGAAUCUGGAUGCGGCGACGACACAGACGUGUGGGGGCAGCGUGUUCUCACGCGGCCCGAGGGGGAGGCCUAAGAAAUGCUGACUCCGGGAUCUUCAGGAACGCUAUGCACUGACCGCUCGCGUGUCGGCGAAUGGGACGUGACCACAGCUCAGAUCUUGGGUGUUGGUAGCACUUAAUUAGCUUUCACUCUCAUGUUGCCUCCUUCGGCGUGGAGUGCGUACAACAGGAUGCCACAUCACGCCUCUUAAUAUUGUCUUUCCAUGGCUUCCCUGCCUCUGUCUCAAGUGGUUUUUUCCCCCCCAUAAUCUCUCUGCCUUUUUAUAGCCUAACGUGGCCUUCAAGGAUGGGUUAGAGGGUAAAAGAAUAAUUUAUUUACAGAUCAUUAAUUUGAAGAUAUUGACAUUGUACUUGGUGCCAGCGAGCACCCACAAGACAAGACGUGUCUCACCAAAAAAAAAAAAAGUACCGGCGUUAGACUUUGGCCAACUAUCGCGUGACUGCAUCAGCGCCGGAACCUCAGCUGACCUGUAACGGGAGACCACAUCAUCAGCCUCGAAGGGCGUUUUGGCAACAGCGUCCCUCAUCAACUCCUACAGAGGCCCAGCAGUGCGGACUCAGCAUAAAUGCCUUUAACAGACAGUGCACAACCUGUGUGUCAUUUUGGCAGAAGAGAAAACUAAUUACACCACUAAAACCAGUUGCAGAGGAGGCUGGGGACCCAGAGCAAAAUUUGCCACACCCCCCUCCUCUACCCAGCAAAUUUUACUGAGCACACCCUUUGAUAAGAGAAAAUCUCAAGCUCAAGCUUAGCAUAAUUGCCAGAAAUUCUGACUGGAUUCCAGCACCUAGGACUAUCAAGUUAAUGAUCCUCCUUUGUAAUCGUGGUUUGGGUUGUUUGUGCCUUGCUAUGCUUGUUAGGGAGGUGAUGACGACGUGAGCAUCCGAGAGCCUGUUUUUACCACCGGACUGCAUUUCUUAGCACAGAACCCCUUUUGUCCUUCCUCACCGGUUUUCCUAUCUGUCAUUUCCAGCUCUUUCUUACUCACUUGGUGGAGAGUGAAAACUCACCUUUGUGCAGUGCCAGCUGAUGGGGAAAGCAGAGGGCUUUUUGCAGAGAAAAAGCCCAACUGUUCAGAGGCAACCUGCCCACGUGCUUCACUCUGGAGAAACAAGGUAAAAGAAAAUAAUUAGACAUUUAAAUACAUUAUACCAGUAACUCUUAUUAUGGAAGAAUGCUACUGAAUGUAGGUACUUAACAGUUAUGUCGAAAGUAUUCAAGUUGAAUGUGUUCUUAGUAUCUUAUUUUUGUUUAAAAUGGAAGGCAGAUUCACAAAACUGCUGUUAGUCAUAUUUUAACCCUUCGCAAUUUGUUCAGUGCUUGAAAAAUCCACACAUUGUAGCCGUCCAGAAUCUGCAACAGUGGCCUAAAGAGACGAUCAAUCACCAAGGCUGAUUACUGUCAUUUAGUUGGGCCAAAAUAGAUUCUCUUGUCUGAGUGGCCCUUCCCCCACCUUUGACUUAUUACAAAACAGGCCGUCGCUGGAGAGCAUCACGGCUACUCUUUUCUUCUUCUGGGUCAGCACCUGUUCUUUUCUGCCCUGGAAGGAGGACUCCAGGUGAGCGGUGGAACAGAGAGUGCGGAUCUCAAUGAAUAAUAAUCCUGAUCCAGCUGGAACAGAAUCACGUCUCUACCUGAUACAAAAAUAGAAAUAACUGAGGCUAAGAACCACAAGCCUGAUCAAUUGUAUUCAGAGAAGAGGAGGAUAAGGGUGUCAUGCCUCGCCGGUGGACCAGCAAUGGGAGGCGGCUGACCCCGACCAAUACCGGGACUCCAUGUUAGAUGCCCGACAUCGCAGCCCAGUGUGAGGUAUUGUUGAUGCAAAGAGACAUACUAUGCGUUCAUUUCCCUGUCUCCCAUAUAGCUCCGUUCCGCCCUGCCUGACUCUCCGUGCAACCUGUCUCAACCUCCCUCCUGCCCUUCCUCCCCUUGCUCUUCCUCCUCGUGAGUUCCCCAUGUGCUUUGUCUGUGUCUUCGGACGGACCCCCCAGCUAUCGACCCCUUUGCCUGCGACACUGACUACGGAUCCGGACCCUGGCCUGCCGCUUGUUCCCGAUCUCCUGGUUUUAGACCCUGCCUGCACGACCACAUCUCUGCCCGCUCCCAGUCACUGUUCUAUCUGCACAGUUAAGUAAAGGCUCUGUGCGCAAUCCCUCUGUUGGUCCAAGUGGGUUUGUGACAAAGGGGGACCCCACUCACCCAUUGCUUUGCUGGUGCAGUGUCCUGGGUAAAGUCUUUUUUAAAUUUAACCUUUAUAGUCCCUCAUGGGGAAAUUCUUUUUACGCCUCCAUCAACUUGCUCUUUGUAGAACAAGCUGUCUGCGAAGGACAGCCACCUGCUGGGGCGCCCAGGGAGCUGGGGGUUAUGCUGAGGCUGGGUUUGAACCGGCGACCUUGUAGUCAAUAGAUUACACUGCACAACAAAGUUUUUGCUUCUUGAACACUGUCUGGUGUUCCUUAUAGACUUUUGGCCGCUGAUCACGAAAAUCAUAUCCAGAUUUGCCCAUCACAUACUGUUUCAUCGAAAUCUUCAGUUUUGUUAUGUAUUUUUCUUAUAUAUGUGUCCAAAAAUGUUCAUUUCUUUAAGAGACCUAUGAACAAUGUUUCGUACAAUCUGGGCAUGUCCAGGCAUGGAAUCAGGCCAGGUUGGAAACUAUUCUGUGGAAGUUUGGAGCCUAGGCAGGCCUGGCUUGACCGGAGCCAGCUUGACACUGCCUCAGCAGGCUAUGAAAGCGGCUUGCAUACACAGAUGCUGCUCAUUGGGUUAAUAAAGACCUGAUAGUGUGUAUGUAUUGUUUCAGAAUAUAGUAUUGCCUCAGUAGCAAAGUAACAAGUAAGCUAGAUGCUAUAGAUGUUUGCAGUAUGAUUAGUGUUGGUCGAUAUGUCUGCUACUGUAUAUUUGAGACGAAUAUACGCUGGUGCCUCAGAGAUGCUCAGUGACUGCUCUUAUGAAGAAAGCAUAUCAUCUGUACUUUGGCUGUAAAAUUGAUGAUCAAGACAAGGAAUGGGCGCCUCACAUUUGUUGUGUGACAAGAGCCUGACUCAGAGGAACUCGAAAGACAAUGCCGUUUGCUGUCCUGAUGAUAUGGCAAGAACAGAAAGACCAUGUGAAGGACUGUUACUUCUGUUUGACUGUGUCUGGUUUCUCCGCCAAAAACAAGAAGUCAGUUGAAUACCCUAAUCUACCUUCAGCAAUGAGACCCGUGCCACAUGACAACAAUGUUCCAGUCCCGAAACCACCAGAGUAAUGUACCUCAGACAAAGCAGAUGAAGAAACUGCAAUGCAGGGAACUAACAGGGACAGUGAUCCGGAUUUUGAACCGUGCUCAUCAGAUGAUCCACAUCUCAUAACACAGUCAGAAUUAAACGAUCUGGUCAGAGAUUUGGGUCUGUCAAAAGCAAAAGCCGAAUUGUUGGGUUCGAGACUACAGGAAUGGUGUUUGCUGCAGCGUGAUGCACCUGACAUUGAAUACGAAUGAAAAUCAAGAGCAAAACACUUCUAAUUAUGUUAAACUUAAUACCGUAUGAGAAACAUAAACGUGAUUAAAUACGUUAUUGCCAGUAAACAGUUAACUGUCUAUUUCUCAGAGUUCCCACAUGAUGCAGCAAAACCAAAACUAUAUUUGUGCAAUCAGCAAAAACUUUUCAGGAAGCAAAACUGUUGUGCAGUGUUAUAGAUUGACUAUACAAUUUUCUACUUCUGUUUUUCUCAAAAACUGUAUGUGCUAGAAAGAAAAUGAAGUCAGAUUUGAAUUCAGCAGCAAAAACUCUUUAGGAACACCACUUUUUAUUUCGGAAGCAGAAACAAAGUUCAAAUUUGUUGCCCAGUGUUAUUCAAUAGAAAAAAAGUAAUUAGUGGCAGCCCUAGAAUUAACACAAAGGGGAGGACGUGGGUCAUUGUCACCAAAGUAGUUAAUCAAAUCCUGGGCAAGAGUUACUGAGAUGAGAAAAAAAAUGACAAAACUAGCAAAAAAUUGUAUACAUCUUAUUAUACAAAUUGAUUGAUUGAUGUAUGGAUUAUUGCAGGUUACAUUCAAUAAAGCUGAAAGAUUUA